rnacentral:rRNA from 1 species
UAUUUUAACCGUGCUAAGGUAGCGUAAUCACUUGUCUUCUAAAUAGAGACCCGUAUGAAAGGCAUCACGAGGGCUUAGCUGUCUCCUUUUUCCAGUCAAUGAAAUUGAUCUUCCCGUGCAGAAGCGGGAAUAAGUCCAUAAGACGAGAAGACCCUGUGGAGCUUAAGACAUAAGCAGCCCAUGUAAAAGACCCUGUACUAACAGAAUUAACCUAUUGCCCCCUGCCCACUUGUCUUUGGUUGGGGCGACCAUGGGGAAAAAACUAUCCCCCAGGUGGAAUAGGAAAACUUCUACACUCCCAUAUAAAAAUUCCUUAAAGCCAGAGCCACAGCUCCAGCAAGCAGAAUAUCUGACCUUAAAGAUCCGGCAAAGCCGAUCAACGGACCGAGUUACCCCAGGGAUAACAGCGCAAUCCCCUUUUAGAGCCCAUAUCGACAAGGGAGUUUACGACCUCGAUGUUGGAUCAGGACAUCCUAAUGGUGCAGCCGCUAUUAAGG